GGAGGGCGGGGCCUAGAGGACAGAGGGCGGGGCCUGGCGGCAGGACUCGGCUUGAGACUGCUCACCUGGCGGCGGGGCGGGACCGACUAAAGGAGGGCCUGGAGCAAGUUGACCUGCGUUGCACGCGCCGCCCUUUUGGAAGAAGCGGAAUACAGUGACACGGCCAUCCGCUGACAGAGCUGUGGUGGCCGAGGAAACGCAGCACUCAGCGCUGAGGGCUUCCCAAUCGGGCCCCGCCGCCGCACUGCGCCACCGCGACCGAAAUUCGGGUCUCGCCCACUCACCUGCCCUACCUGGCGGGGGAGGACGAGCUUUGCAGCGCUUGACAACACACUCCCUCCUUGUCCGUAUUCCGCCCCCUCCACAAACUGGCCAACUCGCUCGGCCUUCCGCAGAAGUCAGGAGCCAGGCAUUCUCACGGUCACUCGCUAACUUGUUUGCCUUCUGUUUCACCCAAGACGCCCUUUGCGUGUCAGGUUGGUUGUUUGCAGGAAGAGGGGGAGAGGAAGGAAGAGUCCGGAACAAUUUUGACUCCUUCGGAGUGCAAUACCCGCAGGCUGUACCCGGAGUCUGAAUCCCUACCCCGCACGCCAUCCUGGAGCUCUAUCUGCUUCAGUCCCAAGACUGGCUAUCGCCUGUCCCCUCGUCCUCAUACCCCCUCAACUCUCGCCCAGCAUUUCCCUCCCCCACUGGCCCGGUGCCGUCCCUUCCCCAACCCCACCACCACCCGGGCGUCCUCCAGAGAGUCACUUGACGGACGUGGUUCCUAGAAUGCGAAAAGCUUCGUAAUAAACCGCCUGCCCGAAUGUUGUCGGGUCAAAUGACAGUCGUAUUAUUGGAAAGCGCUCUCUACACCGUAACCUGCAGCCCAAUUGUCGCUUAGCAUUGCUCUGUGGGAUUUUGCUGGCACCUUUUUCUUCCAAGUAAGAGUGAUACGUGCCUGUUGAAACAAAGUGCUCAUCUCAGAUGACACACUUGGCAAGAACUGCAAGUUCACAGGCCAACUAGAGGACCAAUUUAGAUACAGAUAUACAAAAGUGUGUCACUGUACUUACCAAUGAGAAAGCGUCGGGAAAUUAACUGUCCACAAUGUUCAAUGUUUAUAACCCAGACAGUAGUGGGAAGGGAGAAAUUUCCCUCUUGAGUUCUUAUGCAGUGGACUAAUGACAAAAUUGACACAGGACAGAUUAGCAGGAGAAAAACAAAUUUGAAUGCAUGCACAUAUAGGUCUCAUAGAAAUUGGAUCUAUGAGGUGGCCAAAGCAGGCAGAUUUUAUACUUUUUAGACAAAAAAUAAAUUUGUGAGGAGUUGACAAGAUAGGGUUGGGAUGCUCAAUUAGUGAAAAAUCUAAACAGAAUUUGGGCUUAGGAUAGUAAAUU